rnacentral:ncRNA from 1 species
AAAAAAGCGUUGAAGGAGAAUAGUAAGCUGAAACCUCAGACCAUUAAGGGAGGAAGUGUCGCAGACUGUAAACACUUCUAUGGUAGAGUCAGUUGAAUUCACUCUGGAGCAGGCACUUGGACCUCGUUAUAAUAAAGCGAGUAAAGGUGUCCCGGUUGUGACAGCAAUCGUUAUGAAACUUGAGCGAACAGUAAACGAGUUGCGUUUAUUGUUAAAAAGGGUGGUACCGCGAAUACCAACUUCGUCCCUUAU